AAAUACACACUCUGCAUUAUAUACACACUCUGCAUUAUAUACACAGAGUGUGUGUAUAUAAUGCAGAGUGUGUGUUU